UAGGGAAUCUUCCGCAAUGGGCGAAAGCCUGACGGAGCAAUGCCGCGUGAGGGAUGAAGGUCUUCGGAUCGUAAACCUCUGUUGUGGGGGAAGAAGGGCUGGUGCAAUAAUACGGCAUCGGCCUUGACGGUACUCCACGAGGAAGCCACGGCUAAUUACGUGCCAGCAGCCGCGGUAAUACGUAAGUGGCAAGCGUUGUCCGGAAUCACUGGGCGUAAAGCGCACGUAGGCGGCACGGCAAGUCAGGGGUGCAAGCUUCAGGCUUAACCUGGAAAUUGCCCUUGAAACUACCGAGCUUGAGGGUCGAAGGGGAGACUGGAAUUCACGGUGUAGCGGUGAAAUGCGUAGAUAUCGUGGAGAACACCCGUGGCGAAGGCGGGUCUCUGGUUGACUCCUGACGCUGAGGUGCGAAAGCUAGGGGAGCAAACGGG
rnacentral:rRNA from 1 species